AGAGAGAGAGGGGACAAGAGAGAGAGAGGGGCGUCCUCAGUGUUUGUUAGUGCCGCUUUGCUGAGGAGGCACAAAGUGACACUUUGUUCCCCCCCCCAUCAGAAGCCCUGUGCAGGAGAACAGAGUGGCAUUCAUCACUUCUACUGACUGAUGCGCACAAAGCCUUGCAUUGUGGCUCCACAGCAAUAUGCACGUGUGAUUAGAAUGGUUUUGAGCACAAAAAGCCACAGCUGCUUAACGGGCAUUAUGGCCACAAAUGUCCAGUAUAUUAAAAGUCUGCCAUGCUCUGGCUUUCAGAGCCUGCCCUCUAGCUGCGGUAAACGAGCACAGUCUGGCAGUAAAAGCAAACAUUGCAAUGUAUUUCAAUAGCAAACAACAACUUCAUGCCUCAGCAGCACAUAGCUAAACAAAAUCCUCAGUACAAUACAGAGCUACGUUUAAUCAGAAUCAGAAUGGCUGUGAGGACGACGGCUACUCCCCUCGCUCGCCCCGUUCUCCAGUUUUGGCAGGAUCACACUGUAGCCUCACAGGGAUAUGGUAAUGAUGGAGCUUUACCGCCCUGACUGCUGCCUAUAUUAGAGCUGCACAGCACUUCAAAGACAGACGGUUCUCUGACUGACAAUGUGCAGGAAUAGAAACACCAAGCGAAGCAGCGCAAACAUGCCCUCGCACCAGUUAGUCACAGGUUUUCACACACGCACAGCCAACGGAGGCUCUUAACGACCGGUGCUUAAGUGAAUAAAAAGCCAGGGACACACACACACACACACUCAGCUAAGCUAAGCGACAGUGUGGCGGCUAGACUUGACAUGCAGUGAAGCAACCAUUCAGAGUUUAAUUAAGCAUUUUAUACGAUGGACCACGCUAAGAAAUUAAAAAAUUACGGGAAUGAAGUCAUAAAAUUAUGAGGAGUCGUGAAAUUAUAAGAAUACAGUUGUACGAGAAUAAAGUCGAAAUAUUACUUUAAUUUUAUUAUUACAACUUUAUUGUGGAGGUGCACUAAUAUGAAAUCUUGGGCUAAUAUCAGCAUCCGAUAUUAAUAUUGCUGUUCUGGCUGAUAACCGGUAUUUACCGAUAUUAUAUAUAUUUCACUAUAUUGUCACUAUAUUUUGACACUUUUGGGAAAUAAAACAAAACAACCGGUAACAGAAAGCAACCAAAUGAAAAUAAAUAUUGGUUGUUCAUAUUGGCCCAAUAUGCUAAGAAAUUACUAAUAUCCGCCGAUAGGACUUUGGCUACAUCAUAGUCAUCUCAUAUUUUUUGACUUUAUUCUUGUACAACUAUUCUCGUAACAUUAUCACCUUAAUCAGAUACAGGUUUAUUCUUAUAUUUCUACAAUUCUAUUCUAAUAUGUCAACUUUAUUGUCAUAAUAUUAUUAAUUCAUUCUUGUUAUUUUACAACUUUUUGUAAUUCUUUUUUUUUUCUUUUUUUCUUAGUGUGGCUCAAACAAUCUGUCGUAAUUUGAAAUGAAAUUUAUUUAGCCUACAUUUCUUAAAGGUAGGUUAUUAUAAUUCUGCAGAAGAGGAUCUAAAAUAGAUAAAAUACUAGGCCAUUAUUUUGUAGUUCCAGUCUUUUGCAGUGGCUAAUUAAUACGUUGCCUAAAAAUGGGUACGUUUUAGGUGAUUGAUUUGAACAGUUCUUAGCUGUAAACAUUUAGAGAUUAAAUUAAAAAUAAGGUGGAAUCUAUUAAUUAGGUUACUUCUGAUGGUAAUCGCUUCUACGGGACUUUAUUUAAGGGUAUUAGUAGAAUUGUGGGCCAACACAAAUAAAUGUGACCAUGUUUAGAUUCUUAGUA